rnacentral:rRNA from 1 species
UACGUAGGGGGCAAGCGUUGUCCGGAAUUAUUGGGCGUAAAGCGCGCGCAGGCGGCUUUUUAAGUCUGGUGUUUAAUCCCGAGGCUCAACUUCGGGUCGCACUGGAAACUGGGGAGCUUGAGUGCAGAAGAGGAGAGUGGAAUUCCACGUGUAGCGGUGAAAUGCGUAGAUAUGUGGAGGAACACCAGUGGCGAAGGCGACUCUCUGGGCUGUAACUGACGCUGAGGCGCGAAAGCGUGGGUAGCAAACAGG